rnacentral:snoRNA from 1 species
CUGCAGCUUAUUAAGCCGACCAGUUGUGCUGUGCGAUGCGUCUCUGGUGUGCAAAGGCUGCAGACAGUGAGUCAGGGUUGUGUAUGUCCUCAGCUGCGAGGUGCUGAGUGCUUUAAGGGACCGCUGAGACAAAA